ACGGAGGGUGCAAGCGUUAUCCGGAAUCAUUGGGUUUAAAGGGUCCGUAGGCGGACAAUUAAGUCAGGGGUGAAAUUCUGCAGCUCAACUGUAGGACUGCCCUUGAUACUGGUUGUCUUGAAUGGUCGUGAAGUGAUUAGAAUAAGUAGUGUAGCGGUGAAAUGCAUAGAUAUUACUUAGAAUACCGAUUGCGAAGGCAGAUCACUAACGACUCAUUGACGCUGAGGGACGAAAGCGUGGGGAGCGAACAGG
rnacentral:rRNA from 1 species